GUUGUUGGGUAGGGGAGCGUUCUGUAAGCCUGUGAAGGUGGCCUGUGAGGGUUGCUGGAGGUAUCAGAAGUGCGAAUGCUGACAUAAGUAACGAUAAAGCGGGUGAAAAGCCCGCUCGCCGGAAGACCAAGGGUUCCUGUCCAACGUUAAUCGGGGCAGGGUGAGUCGACCCCUAAGGCGAGGCCGAAAGGCGUAGUCGAUGGGAAACGGGUUAAUAUUCCCGUACUUGGUGUUACUGCGAAGGGGGGACGGAGAAGGCUAUGUUGGCCGGGCGACGGUUGUCCCGGUUUAAGCGUGUAGGUGUGUGUUCCAGGUAAAUCCGGUUCACUUUAACACUGAGGCGUGACGACGAGGCACUACGGUGCUGAAGCAACAAAUGCCCUGCUUCCAGGAAAAGCCUCUAAGCAUCAGGUAACAUCAAAUCGUACCCCAAACCGACACAGGUGGUCAGGUAGAGAAUACCAAGGCGCUUGAGAGAACUCGGGUGAAGGAACUAGGCAAAAUGGUGCCGUAACUUCGGGAGAAGGCACGCUGACACGUAGGUGAAGUGAUUUACUCAUGGAGCUGAAGUCAGUCGAAGAUACCAGCUGGCUGCAACUGUUUAUUAAAAACACAGCACUGUGCAAACACGAAAGUGGACGUAUACGGUGUGACGCCUGCCCGGUGCCGGAAGGUUAAUUGAUGGGGUCAGCGCAAGCGAAGCUCCUGAUCGAAGCCCCGGUAAACGGCGGCCGUAACUAUAACGGUCCUAAGGUAGCGAAAUUCCUUGUCGGGUAAGUUCCGACCUGCACGAAUGGCGUAAUGAUGGCCAGGCUGUCUCCACCCGAGACUCAGUGAAAUUGAACUCGCUGUGAAGAUGCAGUGUACCCGCGGCAAGACGGAAAGACCCCGUGAACCUUUACUAUAGCUUGACACUGAACAUUGAGCCUUGAUGUGUAGGAUAGGUGGGAGGCUUUGAAGUGUGGACGCCAGUCUGCAUGGAGCCGACCUUGAAAUACCACCCUUUAAUGUUUGAUGUUCUAACGUGGACCCGUGAUCCGGGUUGCGGACAGUGUCUGGUGGGUAGUUUGACUGGGGCGGUCUCCUCCUAAAGAGUAACGGAGGAGCACGAAGGUUGGCUAAUCCUGGUCGGACAUCAGGAGGUUAGUGCAAUGGCAUAAGCCAGCUUGACUGCGAGCGUGACGGCGCGAGCAGGUGCGAAAGCAGGUCAUAGUGAUCCGGUGGUUCUGAAUGGAAGGGCCAUCGCUCAACGGAUAAAAGGUACUCCGGGGAUAACAGGCUGAUACCGCCCAAGAGUUCAUAUCGACGGCGGUGUUUGGCACCUCGAUGUCGGCUCAUCACAUCCUGGGGCUGAAGUAGGUCCCAAGGGUAUGGCUGUUCGCCAUUUAAAGUGGUACGCGAGCUGGGUUUAGAACGUCGUGAGACAGUUCGGUCCCUAUCUGCCGUGGGCGCUGGAGAACUGAGGGGGGCUGCUCCUAGUACGAGAGGACCGGAGUGGACGCAUCACUGGUGUUCGGGUUGUCAUGCCAAUGGCACUGCCCGGUAGCUAAAUGCGGAAGAGAUAAGUGCUGAAAGCAUCUAAGCACGAAACUUGCCCCGAGAUGAGUUCUCCCUGAGACUUUAGGUCUCCUGAAGGAACGUUGAAGACGACGACGUUGAUAGGCCGGGUGUGUAAGCGCAGCGAUGCGUUGAGCUAACCGGUACUAAUGAACCGUGAGGCUUAACCUUACAACGCCGAAG
rnacentral:rRNA from 1 species